GGACUGUUGGCGCAAUGGUAGCGCGUUGGUUUUCGGCACCAAAGGUUGCGCGUUCGAGCCGCGUGCAGUCCU